GCCUACCAUGGUUUUGCCCCACUUCAAAUUUCUUCAAAUUUCCUUCUUUAUUUCCUACAAUUGUACACCAAAAUUAUACUCCCAAAUUAUGGCAAGAAGAUCACCAAAUAAUUCCACAAACGUGGUCAUCAAGAAUCAAACCCUACUUCUAUAAAUGCAUGAAUUCCUUUCAUUCCCUACACACCCACAAAUCACAUUCAUGUUCAAAUUCCCAAAUUUCUCAAGAAACUCAGACGGAAUCAAGUAGCCAACCGCCCAUUCCAAUUGUUCUACCAAUUUUGCAAAGGACUGCCCCGAUCUGGUCAACUGGACGUGGUCGGACGGACAGCAGCGCGGUGGCGGCUGCUCAGCAAUGACGGGUGGUGGUGGCGCUGCGACUCGCCGGCGAAGGCAAUCGGGGCAAAGGAAGUGAGUUUCGGAAAACGUGACUGGCGUCACCCGCGAUGCCUCGGACGGCCGCCGAGAAUCGAAAGAUAAUAAUAACGCAUGUCGUGUUGUGUAUGUACUUAUUUUGAAAUCAUAUGAAAAGGUUUUCCUCGAGGAGUUAAGGUUGAAGUACGAGAUACAAGUUUAAGAAAUCACUUAAGCGAUUGAGAUGGCUGAGGCUAAAAGGCCGAUGUUGAGCUACCGCCUCGUUCUGUGUGGAAAAAUCGAAAUUGAGCUUAAGUAAGGAAUAAAGACAAAAUGACAAAGAGCUAAUGAGCUCUUCUCAACAUAGAAGCUUAAAGAGGAGCAUGUAGUUCCUCUGGAAUCAAACAAACACUGCUCUUUGUGCAAGCUGUCUCUCAUACAUAUCAGCGAUGUCGAGAUCAACAAUGUCACGAGCACCCGGGCCAAGCUGGAUGUAGUCACAUUCAACUACUGCCAAGCCAAGCCUAGAAGUAAGUCCGACUACUACCAAAUAUGAAAAUAUUAAGCAAUUCUUCUUCGCCAUGCAGAAUCUCCGUCUGCUCCGACCCUUCAAUUCGUUCUUAUCUUUAGCUACCUAAAUUUAUAAGCUAUUUGUGAAUAAUUAAUAUCUAGCCCUUCACUUAUCAUUCUAUAUUUAGUUGAUUUAUUUAAUCAUAUAAAUCAACUAAAUAUAGAAUGACAAAAGAAACGCUAGAUGUUAAUUAUCCACAAAUAGGUAUGUAAUAAAUUUGGGUAGCUUUGGAACAGUCGGAGCAAACGGGGGAUUCAGCGUGGCGAAGAACAUUGGCUUAAUAUUUUCGCAUUUGGUAGUUGGUGCUGAUUUUUUCCUAUGUAUUUGAGAUCAAUGAUUUCGAUCAUGACUUGUUGGCAUGGCUCGGCUUGGCUGUAGUUGAAUGUGACGACAUCUGGCGGCUGGUGCCCGUGACGUUGUUGAUCUCGACGUCGCUGAUCUGUACGAGGGACUAAAGCCUCUAUGAUGAGCUCAUUAACUCUUUGUCAUUUUGUUUGUAUUCCUAUUUUUGUGAAAAGCACAAGAGGCUGAAGGAGCUACUCACUCCGUUCCACAAAAAUGAUCAACUUUCUUUCUGUUUAACACACAAAAUAAAAUUACAUACAAUCUCAUUCUCCCAAAAAAAAAAAGGGGUAAUUGUCCUUUGGCAUGAGGGAGUAGAAGAUAUCUCCUUUGGCAUGAGGUAGUGCAAUGAUCGAGAAGAGUGUGGGGUGAUAUCAAGCAAAUUCAGCAAAUCUCAAGAGUGUAGGGUGAACUUUUGUAAAGAAUGAACUAUUACUUUAUUUGUCCCCUUUUUAACGUAGAGUUUCUUAUUUAUAAAAAGAGUGCGCUCCCAAUUCUACCUUAAGUCCUCUAUCAAAUUCCUUUUUGGAGAAGUAGUUCACUACUCCAUUUAGCCCUUUGAUACAUGUACAUAUACAGUGUAUACUCCCGUUCAUAUAUGCCAC